AGCAGCCGCGGUAAUUCCAGCUCCAAUAGCGUAUAUUAAAGUUGUUGCAGUUAAAAAGCUCGUAGUUGAAUUUCGGGAUCAAUACGUCGGUCGUGCUUCGGUACGUACUGGCGUAAUUGAUUUCUCCCUUCUGACGAACCAUGAUGUCAUUAACUUGGUGUCAUGGGAAAUCAGGACUGUUACUUUGAAAAAUUAGAGUGUUUAAAGCAGGCUCACGCUUGAAUACAUUAGCAUGGAAUAAUGAAAUAGGACGUUCGAUCCUAUUUUGUUGGUUUUUAGGAUCAACGUAAUGAUUAAUAGGGAUAGUUGGGGGCAUUAGUAUUCAAUUGUCAGAGGUGAAAUUCUUGGAUUUAUUGAAGACUAACUACUGCGAAAGCAUUUGCCAAGGAUGUUUUCAUUAAUCAAGAACGAAAGUUAGGGGAUCGAAGACGAUCAGAUACCGUCGUAGUCUUAACCAUAAACUAUGCCGACUAGGGAUCGGAUGAUGUUAAUUUUUAAUGACUCAUUCGGCGCCUUAAC
rnacentral:sRNA from 1 species